rnacentral:rRNA from 1 species
CUUACGGGAGGCAGCAGUAGGGAAUCUUCCGCAAUGGACGAAAGUCUGACGGAGCAACGCCGCGUGAGUGAUGAAGGCUUUCGGGUCGUAAAACUCUGUUGUUAGGGAAGAACAAGUACAAGAGUAACUGCUCGUACCCUGACGGUACCUAACCAGAAAGCCACGGCUAAUUACGUGCCAGCAGCCGCGGUAAUACGUAGGUGGCAAGCGUUAUCCGGAAUUAUUGGGCGUAAAGCGCGCGCAGGCGGUUUCUUAAGUUUGAUGUGAAAGCCCACGGCUCAUCCGUGGAGGGUCAUUGGAAACUGGGGAACUUGAGUGCAGAAGAGAAAAGCGGAAUUCCACGUGUAGCGGUGAAAUGCGUAGAGAUGUGGAGGAACACCAGUGGCGAAGGCGGCUUUUUGGUCUGUAACUGACGCUGAGGCGCGAAAGCGUGGGGAGCAAACAGGAUUAGAUACCCUGGUAGUCCACGCCGUAAACGAUGAGUGCUAAGUGUUAGAGGGUUUCCGCCCUUUAGUGCUGCAGCUAACGCACUAAGCACUCCGCCUGGGGGGUACGGUCGCAAGACUGAAACUCAAAUGCAAUUUCACUGGG